UGAUCUUUUGAUAGUUCAGUGUUGUGGCUGU
rnacentral:piRNA from 1 species